GUGCUGCUGUACAUACCCUAAAACUGGAAUGAUACAGAGAAGAUUAACAUGGUCCCUGCGCAAGGAAGACACGCAAACUUGUGAAGCAUUCCGUAGUUUU
rnacentral:snRNA from 1 species